rnacentral:rRNA from 1 species
UGUUCUAACGUGGACCCGUGAUCCGGGUUGCGGACAGUGUCUGGUGGGUAGUUUGACUGGGGCGGUCUCCUCCUAAAGAGUAACGGAGGAGCACGAAGGUUGGCUAAUCCUGGUCGGACAUCAGGAGGUUAGUGCAAUGGCAUAAGCCAGCUUGACUGCGAGCGUGACGGCGCGAGCAGGUGCGAAAGCAGGUCAUAGUGAUCCGGUGGUUCUGAAUGGAAGGGCCAUCGCUCAACGGAUAAAAGGUACUCCGGGGAUAACAGGCUGAUACCGCCCAAGAGUUCAUAUCGACGGCGGUGUUUGGCACCUCGAUGUCGGCUCAUCACAUCCUGGGGCUGAAGUAGGUCCCAAGGGUAUGGCUGUUCGCCAUUUAAAGUGGUACGCGAGCUGGGUUUAGAACGUCGUGAGACAGUUCGGUCCCUAUCUGCCGUGGGCGCUGGAGAACUGAGGGGGGCUGCUCCUAGUACGAGAGGACCGGAGUGGACGCAUCACUGGUGUUCGGGUUGUCAUGCCAAUGGCACUGCCCGGUAGCUAAAUGCGGAAGAGAUAAGUGCUGAAAGCAUCUAAGCACGAAACUUGCCCCGAGAUGAGUUCUCCCUGAGACUUAGAGUCUCCUGAAGGAACGUUGAAGACGACGACGUUGAUAGGCCGGGUGUGUAAGCGCAGCGAUGCGUUGAGCUAACCGGUACUAAUGAACCGUGAGGCUUAACCUUACAACGCCGAAG